rnacentral:rRNA from 1 species
CCUACGGGAGGCAGCAGUGGGGAAUUUUGCACAAUGGGGGAAACCCUGAUGCAGCGACGCCGCGUGAGUGAAGAAGUAUCUCGGUAUGUAAAGCUCUAUCAGUAGGGAAGAAAAUGACGGUACCUGAUUAAGAAGCCCCGGCUAACUACGUGCCAGCAGCCGCGGUAAUACGUAGGGGGCAAGCGUUAUCCGGAUUUACUGGGUGUAAAGGGAGCGUAGACGGCAGCGCAAGUCUGAAGUGAAAUGCCGGGGCUGAACCCCGGAACUGCUUUGGAAACUGGGCAGCUAGAGUGCAGGAGAGGUAAGUGGAAUUCCUAGGGUAGCGGUGAAAUGCGUAGAUAUUAGGAGGAACACCAGUGGCGAAGGCGGCUUACUGGACUGCAACUGACACUGAGGCUCGAAAGUGUGGGUAUCAAACAGGAUUAGAUACCCUAGUAGUC